UCCGUAGGGAGCAAGCGUUGUUCGGAUUUACUGGGCGUAAAGCGCGCGUAGGCGGCUUUGCAAGUCGGGUGUGAAAUCCCCAGGCUUAACCUGGGAACUGCAUUCGAGACUGCAUUGCUAGAGUAUGGGAGAGGGAAGUGGAAUUUCCGGUGUAGCGGUGAAAUGCGUAGAUAUCGGAAGGAACAUCAGUGGCGAAAGCGACUUCCUGGACCAAUACUGACGCUCAUGUGCGAAAGCGUGGGGAGCAAACAGG
rnacentral:rRNA from 1 species